CACGCAGGCGGUUUUUUAAGUCAGAUGUGAAAGGUACCGGCUCAACCGGUGACAUGCAUUUGAAACUGAAAGACUUGAGUAUUGGAGAGGCAAGUGGAAUUCCUAGUGUAGCGGUGAAAUGCGUAGAGAUUAGGAGGAACACCAGUGGCGAAGGCGGCUUGCUGGACAAAUACUGACGCUGAGGUGCGAAAGCGUGGGGAGCAAACA
rnacentral:rRNA from 2 species